AUCUACUUGCCACCUUGCUAAUAUAAGAGACACCCUUUUAAUUGCUUGAUAUGAUUUUGUGUUAUGCUAACAACUUGUGCAGAUGGAGUGGUCAGGGUAUUUAAGUUGGAUGAUGCUUCAAGUAAAAUUUCAAAUUUCUGAGAAUUAAUUUACCUGGUGGAGGUCAUCCAGUGGCAGUGGCCUUUUCUGAUGAUGCAUCUUAUGUACGUAGUAGUGGCUUCUGAAACUCACUCCAAUGCAUCUUUAUAUAUGUACAGAGAAGAAAAGGCUAAACCCUCUAAUGAAUCUAAGCAGCAAUCUAAGAUUCCUCUACCAGAAAUCAAAUGGGAACUGACCAUAGUUGGAAUUGCUGCAACUUAUGGAAGUGCUGAUUGGGGUGCGAUUAUUGCCUCUUGUUCAGAGGGUAUGUGCUGAUGGGAACACCAAAGAGUGACAUAGUUUGGUCAAGGAAGUCAAGAGGGAGAAGUUGUUAAAGAUGCUUGAACCCUUGGCAUAGCUCGGAUGCUCAGUCAAGACACCUGAUCAUCAGAUAGCUCAGAUGCUUAGUCAAGGGACUUGAGCAUCAUAUAGAUCAAACAUUCGGUUCGAUGUCCAAUGAAGCGUCUGCUAGAUUUGGCUCAGCAAUUUAGAUAACUUGGAUAACUAACCCGCGAUGCUUGCCGGAAAUCUGAGGAUCACAAUUGAACAUCUUCAGAUUCCAGGAAAAACCUCCAACAAUCUUAAGGUGAUAAAUGUUGGAGAAACCCACAACUCUUUACAGCAUUUUAUUAUUUUUCUCUCAAUCUCUCAACCAAGUCACUGACUUUUUGGGUCGAAAUGGCUGAGCAAUAGGCCACAAACUUCACCUAUUUUCUUUCUUGUGUCACAUGCUCACAUCACUUGUAAACUGGUCAAAGAAAUUCAUGGCAACAUAAAUAGCAUUGCAUAUUUUGCUUUUGGAUUUUAGGUAGAUUUAUGGGUUUCUAGUCCUGUUUCUUGCGUUGACAACUAUAUAAUUAUGAUCAUCAUGAUGAGAUCCUUUAAUUGAUAUUCAAUAAGUUCAAUACCAUCUUGAUGAGGAUCCAAAGACUGUAACGGUGUUUCCAAUUCCACUUCAUGAUUCACAUGGUGCUACAUUGCAUUAUGAUCGACUCAGUUUACCCCUGAUGGGAAGAUACUGGCAGCAACCAUUUGUUCAACGUUGCAGUGGUUGUGUGUGGAAACUGGGAAGGUUCUGGACACAGCUGACAAGGCCCAUGAUGGCAUGUAAUUGUGUUCUAUCUUGGUAUUUAUGGAUUUACUUUGUUUC